rnacentral:lncRNA from 1 species
CCCGUCGGUACCGCCUCCGUUACCGGGUUCUCAGCUGUCUGAACCGGCACGGCUCGCUCCGAAGCCCCGUCAGGGGAAGCUCGGUGCGCUGACACAGCCGUGCUCACGCCUCCCUCCCACUUCUGCGUAACUCUGGAAACUCCGCUGUGCUGCUGCUGAGGAGGGGAAAUUCUGCUGUGGUUUUCUGUUGCGAUCUGCACCACGAGCGUUUAAAGGCGCGCUGUGCGUUCAGCCGCUGCCCGGCGGUGCGGCCGUGCCCUUUCAGAAGCGCGCUGUGACGGUGACGUCCGGCCUUUGCUUUGCAGCGUGCGCUGCGCUGCCCGCCGCCCCGCCGCCGUCUCUGCAGCGCUGGGCGAAGCGGAGCCGCCCGGAGCCGUUCCUGUGCGGAGCCGCCCGCUGUGCCGCCCCACCGACGCACGAAAUACCCCGCCAGCCCCACGAAGGGCAAGAAAUACAUUGCAUGUAUCAAGCCGUUUCCAAUGAUGAUGCUAAGGAAAAAGAGCCCUGCCCUGGUCUAGCAUUUGCCAGUGUGAUGAAAUAUGUACCUCAAUUCUGUCUUUUUCUGCCUCUGGAGAGAUUCCCGCACUGAGCUGGGCCUGGAUCGGCAGGCUGCAGGUCUCGGUGCUGGAGACAAGGAGGUGCAGAGGGGUGG